rnacentral:lncRNA from 1 species
UUUAUACGUGGGACGCCUACCACAGCAUGGCUGCCAAGCAGUGCCAUGUCCGCACCCGGGAUCCGAACCAGCAAACCCCGGGCCGCCAAGAAGCGGAACGUGCGAACUUAACCGCUGCGCCACCGGGCCGGCCCCUAUUUAUCCUUCAUUUUUGAAGGGUAAUUUCACAGGGGAGGAAGACAUUUCCUCUACCCGCUGUGGGUUCUUCUGGCUGGAGAACAAAUUAAAUUCACAUGACACAGAAUAACAGGAGAAAAUUAAACAAAGCUUUACAACAUGUGUACAUGGGAGAGGCUCAGGCAAGCUGAGCAACUUGCCAAAAUGGCUGAAGCCACCACCUUAAAUAUCAUCUUCAGAUCUCACAUGACAGAAAAGCUCCACAGCAAUGACCUGCUUGUACUCUCAAGAAGUUCUUGCAGCCCGUCAGACUGCCAGCUUUGUUCAAGUCUGUGCACUCAUCUCAUCACGGAACACCCUCAGGCUGGGAGAUCAGUACCCAGUUAGAGAAAGAACACAGAUCAGAUAUGCUAACAUCCCAUGGUUGAGGC